ensembl:lncRNA
UUUCACUUAUUGAGUUGUACCACGAGAGAACACUGGUUAAGCUGAAGUCAUCCUCGAAGAGAAUUCUUCCACGCGUGAGCUUUGGAUAAUAUUUGUCUAUGGUCUCCCCUCCCUUUCUGCCUCAAGAAAUCACUUUCCAUUUCAAAACCUGCCAGGAGAAAAGUUACCUGAUGUCAAUUCAACAUCUCAAGGCUUUCUACUCCACUCCCCUGGAGACUGACGAGACAGAUGAUAACUUUCGCCCACCAGGGGGCAGUAUUUCCCCUGCAGCCUGGAGAACAGAACCCAGCUGGUAGUCGUUCUCCAGAGGGGCGCCGGAGCACAGGAUUGUGAGAUGCGUGUGGAGGGUCGAGGGGGGGCCCUCCCCUCUCAGUAUGGCUUGCAGUGCAUCAGUCAGAUGAACACUCUCCGAGAGCAUGGAGCAGCUCUCCAGACAGACAGACACUCAGGAUUAGGCAUUAGAAAUUAUCAUAAUAAAAAUAAAAAUAAAAUUAAAAACAUUACCCACCACCUUUAUCACAAAACAGCAGAAAAAAAUGAGACAGCGAACAUACCCACAGUCACAGGUACGAACACAAAAACACCAUUCGCAUUAGUGAUGACAGGAGAUGUGAGGGUGAAAUGAGCAGUGACCGUCCGUAGAGGUCAUGACCUGACUGGCGAUCCCGCUUGCAGUUGUGUGUUUGUGUGUGUGUGUAUAUAUGCAGCUGACCCACUCA